GCGGCAGGCCUAACACAUGCAAGUCGAGGGGUAACAGAGAGAAGCUUACUUUUCUGCUGACGACCGGCGCACGGGUGCGUAACGCGUAUACAAUCUGCCUUAUACAGAGGGAUAGCCUUUAGAAAUGAAGAUUAAUACCUUAUAGUCUAUUUUUAUAGCAUUAUAUAAAUAGUAAAGCUUCGGUGGUAUAAGAUGAGUAUGCGUCCUAUUAGUUAGUUGGUAAGGUAACGGCUUACCAAGACAACGAUAGGUAGGGGCCCUGAGAGGGGGAUCCCCCACACUGGUACUGAGACACGGACCAGACUCCUACGGGAGGCAGCAGUGAGGAAUAUUGGACAAUGGAGGCAACUCUGAUCCAGCCAUGCCGCGUGCAGGAUGACGGCCCUAUGGGUUGUAAACUGCUUUUAUAUAGGAAGAAACCUUUUCACGUGUGAGAAGCUGACGGUACUAUAAGAAUAAGGACCGGCUAACU
rnacentral:rRNA from 1 species